UAUUGUUACUUUGGCAGAUUAGUGCAAUAAAUUUAGAAUUUAUUUAUGUAAAUAUUUACAAGUAAUA
rnacentral:tRNA from 1 species